rnacentral:rRNA from 1 species
GAUGAACGCUGGCGGCGUGCCUAAUACAUGCAAGUCGAGCGAACGGACGAGAAGCUUGCGUCUCUGAUGUUAGCGGCGGACGGGUGAGUAACACGUGGAUAACCUACCUAUAAGACUGGGAGAACUUCGGGAAACCGGAGCUAAUACCGGAUGAUAUUUUGAACCGCAUGGUUCAAAAGUGAAAGACGGUCUUGCUGUCACUUAUAGAUGGAUCCGCGCUGCAUUAGCUAGUUGGUAAGGUAACGGCUUACCAAGGCAACGAUGCAUAGCCGACCUGAGAGGUUGAUCGGCCACACUGGAACUGAGACCCGGUCCAGACUCCUACGGGAGCCAGCAGUAGGGAAUCUUGCGCAAUGGGCGAAAGCCUGACGGAGCAUCGCCGCGUGAGUGAUGAAGGUCUUCGGAUCGUAAACCUCUGUUAUUAGGGAAGAACAUAUGUGUAUGUAACCGUGCACAUCUUGACGGUACCUAAUCAGAAAGCCCCGGCUACCUCCGU